GACGAACCGUGCGAACGUUAUUCGGAAUCACUGGGCUUAAAGCGCGUGUAGGCGGGAGGGCACGUCCGUCGCUGAAAUCCCCCGGCUCAACCGGGGAACGGGCACGGAUACGACCUUCCUGGAGGGGCGUAGGGGGACCUGGAACUUCCGGUGGAGCGGUGAAAUGCGUUGAGAUCGGAAGGAACGCCCGUGGCGAAAGCGAGGUCCUGGACGCCUACUGACGCUGAUGCACGAAAGCUAGGGGAGCAAACAGG
rnacentral:rRNA from 1 species